rnacentral:rRNA from 1 species
UUACUACAUGGAUAACCGUGGUAAUUCUAGAGCUAAUACAUGCUAAAAACCCCGACUUCGGAAGGGGUGUAUUUAUUAGAUAAAAAACCAAUGCCCUUCGGGGCUCCUUGGUGAAUCAUAAUAACUUAACGAAUCGCAUGGCCUUGCGCCGGCGAUGGUUCAUUCAAAUUUCUGCCCUAUCAACUUUCGAUGGUAGGAUAGUGGCCUACCAUGGUAUCAACGGGUAACGGGGAAUUAGGGUUCUAUUCCGGAGAGGGAGCCUGAGAAACGGCUACCACAUCCAAGGAAGGCAGCAGGCGCGCAAAUUACCCAAUCCCGACUCGGGGAGGUAGUGACAAUAAAUACUGAUACAGGGCUCUUUUGGGUCUUGUAAUUGGAAUGAGUACAAUUUAAAUCCCUUAACGAGGAACAAUUGGAGGGCAAGUCUGGUGCCAGCAGCCGCGGUAAUUCCAGCUCCAAUAGCGUAUAUUAAAGUUGUUGCAGUUAAAAAGCUCGUAGUUGAACCUUGGGCCUGGCUGGCCGGUCCGCCUCACCGCGUGUACUGGUCCGGCCGGGCCUUUCCUUCUGGGGAGCCGCAUGGCCUUCACUGGCCGUGUCGGGGAACCAGGACUUUUACUUUGAAAAAAUUAGAGUGUUCAAAGCAGGCCUUUGCUCGAAUACAUUAGCAUGGAAUAAUAGAAUAGGACGUGCGAUCCUAUUUUGUUGGUUUCUAGGACCGCCGUAAUGAUUAAUAGGGAUAGUCGGGGGCAUCAGUAUUCAAUUGUCAGAGGUGAAAUUCUUGGAUUUAUUGAAGACUAACUACUGCGAAAGCAUUUGCCAAGGAUGUUUUCAUUAAUCAGUGAACGAAAGUUAGGGGAUCGAAGACGAUCAGAUACCGUCGUAGUCUUAACCAUAAACUAUGCCGACUAGGGAUCGGUGGAUGUUACUAUUAUGACUCCA